GAGAGAGCAUGAGUGGGGGAGGAGCAGAGAGAGAGGGAGAUAAAGAAUCUGAAGCAGGCUCCAGGCCCCAAGCUGUCAGCACAGAGCUCGACUUGGGGCUCAAACUCUUGAACUGUUACAUCAUGACCUGAGCUGAAGUCAGACACUUAACCGACUGAGCCACCCAGGCGCCCCCUGAAAUAUCUUUAAUAUAAAGGUCAUUUUAUAAUGAAAUGUACUGGAAUCCCAUACACUGGGCUUGUUCACAAAAUUUGAAAACCAAGCAGAAAGAAAACUACUGAAUGAGGGUGCUAAAAACACCUAGGAUUUAGCACAAAUUUUGGCUCAGAUAUUUUGGAAUGAGUGAAUACUUGAGCAAAUGAAUGAAUUAAUGCCCGAAUUGAUAAAUGAGUGGAUGGAUGAAUAAAUGGUAGGAGAAAGACUGGCAUGAGUGAAUAAAUGCCUGAAUGGAUACAGUUCCUGGCUAGUUAUAUAACAAGACAUCGGAUUCCUUAUUUCAUAGACAAUAAAUUCUAUGAAGUUGAACCCUUUUCUUUUUCACGGUUCCUUUAGCAACAUAAGAAUGAAUGUAGUCACAUCACUUCUUACAGUUUCUGGCUUUUAAUUCUUACGAUCCCCUUACGCUGAGUACAGAAAAUGGUCUGAGGUAAGGAGGCAAGUAUUUUAUGUGGAACUUUGGACAACCUGCUUUUAUUCCUCAGGGACAGUUUUCAAGCUACUCAACCUCGCUGCCCUAAAAUGGGUGGACUGUGUGUGGCCCUUCUAACCCUGACAAUCUGCAUUCAUUCAUUUGUGGCAUAUUUUACUUCCAAGCUUAUCACUGUGACAGAGCACACAUUUUUUGAGAGGACAGCCCCUCCAGUGAACUGCCCAAGACGUUCUUUGGAUAUCCAUGACUUAGUCUGCAUUCCAAAAGGAUGGGGCAGUUUUCUGGAAACAAAAUGGUAGGUGAAAUCUCUGGGAGAGAGUUACAUGGUGUGUCCUCACUGGCACCUUCACUAAGUGAGUAAAUGUUAUCUGAAAUUCUGGCCAAAUUUGAUGAUCUAGGAAAGGCAGUAUGCACAGUGGUUAAGGUUGUUGACUCUGGAGCCAGACUUCUUAGAAUCCCAGCUCUGCCACUUACUUGAGCAAGUUACAUAUAAGUCUCACUGCUCAGUUAUCUUUUUAUUUUUUUAAUGUUUAUUUAUUUUUGAGAGAGAGAGAGAGAGAGAGAGAACGAGCAGGGGAGGGACAGACAGGGAGGGGGACACAGAAUUCGAAGCAGGAUCCAGGCUCUGACCUGUCAGCACAGAGCCCGACAUGGGGCUCGAACCCACAAACUGUGAGAUCAUGACCUUAGUCAAAGUCAGACACUUAACCGACUGAGCCACCCGUGCGCCCCUCACUGCUCAGUUUUUAAUCUGUAAAAUUGGGGUAAUAAAGGUACCUCCUUCCAACAAACAUUUUUGUAAAGAUUAAGUGGCUAAAUGUAUUUAAAGCCCAAGAACUAGGUCUUACACAUGUUAGCUGCUACUUUUGUUAUUUAUUACUUCUAAGCAAAUAUGCCACCCUGGGUCCUCUAUACUCUAAGAGAGGUAUUGGCUCUGUUCUCUGAAGGGUUUGUGCUGAUUCAUUGCCCUUUUUCAUCCCAAAACAUUUGUGAGGAAACUAGGUUUAAUUUGGGUUAUUGUCUGUGACUGGGAAGCAGAGUAUAAAGUUUCUGGUAACAUUUGAGGGUGGAUCAUGUCAGGCCUUAACAGGUUCCCAUGUGUUUCUCCUUAUAGUUGACCCCUGUCUGUAGGUUCUGGUCAUGAAGGAGUCACCUCACAAAUAAUCUGUCUUGACUCUACCUUUGUGCACAGCCCUCAUCUCUGUGGUGUAAUCUUCCUGCUCUUGGUUAUCUCACUCUAGGUCUUGCCAGAACCUCCUCUUAGCCUCCCCUCCUAGCCCUACCUCUUCCCCAAUACUAAUUAGGUGACUCAGGCUCUGAUACUGAUCACUGAAUUCCCAAAUUCCUCUUGCCUCCAUGCUUGACAUUCUGAGCAUUUGUUCUCCUAAGUCUUACUUCCGCUGAGCCUCUCCUAUCCUCUGGACACUUUUCUACCUCCUGCCUUUUUUGCCUACUGUUGUUGGGAUACAUUGGUCACCAAUGACAAUGGACUUUCAACCAGUAUCUAAAGCAGCAUAUCUUCUUCACCUCCAACCUCUUCCUGGUACUGUUGCUUCAUUUAAGAGAGGGCAGAAAUGCUAUGUGUUCACCAAAACUCACCACAAGUUUCUUCUACCCCCAAAAUAUACAGUUAGGCCAUAUUUCCCCGUCUCCCUUAUAGUUAGGUUUGGUCAUGGGGCUGAAUUUUGCUUGAAGGAAUGUGGGUAAAAAUGAUGUCCAAUCCUCAUGAGAUCCUCUAUGCCCUCUUUCUCCUCCGCUACCUCCUGGCAAGAUAGCAAGAUUCUAACAGAGGGAUCCAAGAUUAUACAAGAAGACAGAGCCAUAGGAUGCAAGGACCCCGGAUUUCUGAGUGACCACGUGGAAGGCUGCCUAUGGACCAGGAAUUGGACUUGGUGGGCUGUGUUGCCAGAGUUUGCCUGCAAAGUGGAAUCUUUGUGAAAGAAAAAUAAAGAUUUGAUGGACAAGAUUUAUUGUGUGCAAGGACUCAACUCUGUGAACCAAGAGAACAUGGGUAUCUUCACUUAAUACAAGGGCAAACACAAGAUUGAAAGAUUUGUGCAACAUUGCUAAAAUGAGUGACAAACGUAAGCAAAGUUUUACCUGAAGAGACCUGGAAAGAAAAAACAAUGAAACAAUGUCCUCCAUAUAUUGAGAACGUGUAAG